GGCCCUAUCGUCUAGCCUGGUCAGGACACAAGCUUUUCAAGCUUGGUACCCGGGUUCAAAUCCCGGUGGGGCCGCCG
rnacentral:tRNA from 1 species